CCCGCUGAACUUAAGCAUAUCAAUAAGCGGAGGAAAAGAAACCAACAGGGAUUGCCUCAGUAACGGCGAGUGAAGCGGCAACAGCUCAAAUUUGAAAUCUGGCUCUUUCAGGGUCCGAGUUGUAAUUUGUAGAGGAUGCUUCGGCGUGGGCUCCGGUCUAAGUUCCUUGGAACAGGACGUCACAGAGGGUGAGAAUCCCGUAUGUGAUCGGUUGCCUUUGCCUUGUGAAGCUCCUUCGACGAGUCGAGUUGUUUGGGAAUGCAGCUCUAAAUGGGAGGUAAAUUUCUUCUAAAGCUAAAUACUGGCCAGAGACCGAUAGCGCACAAGUAGAGUGAUCGAAAGAUGAAAAGCACUUUGGAAAGAGAGUCAAAAAGUACGUGAAAUUGUUGAAGGGGAAGCGCUUGCAACCAGACCUGCCUGCAGUUGCUCAUCCGGGCUUUCGCCCGGUGCACUCUUCUGCUGUCAGGCCAGCAUCGGUUCGGGCGGUCGGAUAAAGGCUUCGGGAAUGUAGCUCCUCUCGAGGAGUGUUAUAGCCCGUUGCGAAAUGCGGCCAGCCUGAACUGAGGUCCGCGCUUCGGCUAGGAUGCUGGCGUAAUGGUUGUAAGCGGCCCGUCUUGAAACACGG
rnacentral:rRNA from 1 species